UACAGAGGUCUCAAGCGUUGUUCGGAUUCAUUGGGCGUAAAGGGUGCGUAGGCGGCGCGGUAAGUCGGGUGUGAAAUCUCGGAGCUUAACUCCGAAACUGCAUUCGAUACUGCCGUGCUUGAGGACUGGAGAGGAGACUGGAAUUUACGGUGUAGCGGUGAAAUGCGUAGAUAUCGUAAGGAAGACCAGUGGCGAAGGCGGGUUGCUGGGCUGAUACUGACGCUGAGGCGCGAAAGCCAGGGGAGCAAACGGG
rnacentral:rRNA from 1 species